rnacentral:rRNA from 1 species
GACGAACGCUGGCGGCGUGCUUAACACAUGCAAGUCGAACGGAAAGGCCCCCUUGUGGGGUACUCGAGUGGCGAACGGGUGAGUAACACGUGAGUAACCUACCCUUGUCUUUGGGAUAACUUCAGGAAACUGGGGCUAAUACCGGAUAGGAGCUCCUGCUGCAUGGUGGGGGGUGGAAAGUUUCGGCGGUUGGGGAUGGACUCGCGGCUUAUCAGCUUGUUGGUGGGGUAGUGGCUCACCAAGGCUUUGACGGGUAGCCGGCCUGGGAGGGUGACCGGCCACAUUGGGACUGAGAUACGGCCCAGACUCCUACGGGAGGCAGCAGUGGGGAAUAUUGCACAAUGGGCGGAAGCCUGAUGCAGCAACGCCGCGUGCGGGAUGACGGCCUUCGGGUUGUAAACCGCUUUCGCCUGUGACGAAGCGUGAGUGACGGUAAUGGGUAAAGAAGCACCGGCUAACUACGUG